CAGGAGGAGAGCCGUGCGGGCAGGGCGGUUUUAACGCCGCGGGGGCCUCACGAGGCUCGGCACCGCCCUCGGAAGGGGCACCCGAGGGACGGCGGCCUGGCCGAGGAGACGGCGCCCCCUUCCCCUGAGGCGAGGAGGAGGAGGAGGAGGAGGAGGAGGAGGAGGAGGAGACCGAGACCGUCUGCCGUGACGCCGCGCCGAGCCGCGCAGGCGCAGCGCCCGUUGUAUCCGGCCGCCGCCUUUUCUCUCUUCCUCCUCGUCCCUCCCUCCCUCUCCCUCCAUCCCCUCCCACAGCCGCCGCGGUCGGUGCCGCCGCCGCCGCCGCCUGUGCGCGCCCUGCCCGCCCGCUCCCCCCCCAUCCACCCUCGGCUCUCCCCGCGGCUGCCCCAUGAGGCGAUGGCAGCGGCCAACUUCGGCAAGAUCCAGAUAGGAAUCUACGUGGAGAUCAAGCGCAGCGAUGCCGGGCCAAGCCUUAAGACUGUAGCAGAAAAUUUUAUCACCAUACGCUUGAUGAGUCUGCCAGUUCCCGCAGCACCGAAGAGUUUUUGUGUCUUUGCAGUCCCAGCAUGCUGUUUGUAGCAAUGGAUGAAGUGGCACCGCUACAGGAAAAAAAGUGGGCUGUAUUCCUAGUUUGCUAACAAAUCAGAGAACUAAUUAAAACAGUUCCACAAUGGAGGGUUCUUGCACAAAAUUAAGUCACUGUAGGUUAUUAGCAGUGGAAAAAGUAAUGGAGAGGUGUACUGAGCACCACAUACAAAGAAAACUUGCACAAAAAUGUUCAUCCAAAGAAGUGAAGUGUGGGAAUGCCCUGCUGAGUUAGCCAGCUUCACAGUCACCAGCAGAAUUAGGGCAUAGUCCUGAGGGCAGGACAUUCUUGUGCAACAUUAUUUGGGUGCUGAGGAAAGGAGUAAGGUCUGCACAUGGUGAGGAGGGUAUGGCUGUGGUUUCUGCCCCUGCAUCUCCUGGAUUUUUCCAAAUCCAGGCUGAUGCCCAUGGAGGAAGAUGAAAACCAUGCUCUUCAUGCACAUUGGGUGUUGCGUGGAGUAAGCGCAGUGUUAACAGUGACAGUGUUCAUGUCACCUUUUUCUUGCCCUCUGUGAGCAGCUCAGCAUCAACACUGACACUGUAGGUACCAGAAGUGAGGAUGCAGACCUUGCCUUCAGUGAGGGCACUGGGAAAUGCAAGAGAGUGCUGCUGAAGAAGCACUAAUGGCAGGAUAUGUUCAGGAAAAAAUAAUGGCUCAGAGAAAUAAAAACUAGCAAAUGCUAGAGGAAAGGAACUAA
rnacentral:lncRNA from 1 species